rnacentral:rRNA from 1 species
CCUACGGGUGGCAGCAGUGGGGAAUUUUGGGCAAUGGACGCAAGCCUGACCCAGCCACGCCGCGUGAAGGAAGACUGCUUUCGGGUUUUAAACUUCUUUUGUCAGGGAAGAGUAGAAGACGGUACCUGACGAAUAAGCCACGGCUAACUACGUGCCAGCAGCCGCGGUAAUACGUAGGUCGCAAGCGUUGUCCGGAUUUACUGGGUGUAAAGGGCGUGUAGCCGGUUUGACAAGUCAGAUGUGAAAGCCUGCGGCUUAACCGAAGAACUGCAGUUGAAACUGGUGAUCUUGAGUACUGGAGAGGCAGACGGAAUUCCUAGUGUAGCGGUGAAAUGCGUAGAUAUUAGGAGGAACACCAGUGGCGAAGGCGGUCUGCUGGACAGCAACUGACGGUGAGGCGCGAAAGCGUGGGGAGCAAACAGGAUUAGAUACCCCGGUAGUC